rnacentral:rRNA from 1 species
AGUUUGAUCCUGGCUCAGAACGAACGCUGGCGGCAUGCCUAACACAUGCAAGUCGAACGAGACCUUCGGGUCUAGUGGCGCACGGGUGCGUAACACGUGGGAAUUUGCCUCGGGGUAUGGAAUAACUCAGGGAAACUUGAGCUAAUACCAUAUAAUGUCUUCGGACCAAAGAUUUAUCGCCCUGAGAUAAGCCCGCGUAGGAUUAGCUAGUUGGUGGGGUAAAGGCUCACCAAGGCGACGAUCCUUAGCUGGUCUGAGAGGAUGAUCAGCCACACUGGGACUGAGACACGGCCCAGACUCCUACGGGAGGCAGCAGUGGGGAAUAUUGGACAAUGGGCGAAAGCCUGAUCCAGCAAUGCCGCGUGAGUGAUGAAGGCCUUCGGGUUGUAAAGCUCUUUUACUCGGGACGAUAAUGACGGUACCGAGAGAAUAAGCCCCGGCUAACUCCGUG